rnacentral:rRNA from 1 species
CCUACGGGUGGCAGCAGUGAGGAAUAUUGGUCAAUGGACGAGAGUCUGAACCAGCCAAGUAGCGUGAAGGAUGACUGCCCUAUGGGUUGUAAACUUCUUUUAUAUGGGAAUAAAAUGUUCCACGUGUGGGAUUUUGUAUGUACCAUAUGAAUAAGGAUCGGCUAACUCCGUGCCAGCAGCCGCGGUAAUACGGAGGAUCCGAGCGUUAUCCGGAUUUAUUGGGUUUAAAGGGAGCAUAGGUGGAUUGUUAAGUCAGUUGUGAAAGUUUGCGGCUCAACCGUAAAAUUGCAGUUGAAACUGGCAGUCUUGAGUACAGUAGAGGUGGGCGGAAUGCGUGGUGUAGCGGUGAAAUGCUUAGAUAUCACGAAGAACUCCGAUUGCGAAGGCAGUUCACUGGUCUGCAACUGACACUGAGGCUCGAAAGUGUGGGUAUCAAACAGGAUUAGAUACCCUGGUAGUC